rnacentral:rRNA from 1 species
AAAUGAUUGACGGGGGCCCGCACAAGCGGUGGAGCAUGUGGUUUAAUUCGAUGCAACGCGAAGAACCUUACCUACCCUUGACAUCGUGCGAACUUUCCAGAGAUGGAUUGGUGCCUUCGGGAACGCACAGACAGGUGCUGCAUGGCUGUCGUCAGCUCGUGUUGUGAAAUGUUGGGUUAAGUCCCGUAACGAGCGCAACCCUUGUCCCUAUUUGCCAGCGAUUCGGUCGGGAACUCUAGGGAGACUGCCGGUGACAAACCGGAGGAAGGUGGGGACGACGUCAAGUCAUCAUGGCCCUUACGGGUAGGGCUACACACGUGCUACAAUGGUCGGUACAAAGGGUUGCGAUACCGCGAGGUGGAGCUAAUCCCAUAAAGCCGGUCUCAGUCCGGAUCGGAGUCUGCAACUCGACUCCGUGAAGUCGGAAUCGCUAGUAAUCGUGAAUCAGAAUGUCACGGUGAAUACGUUCCCGGGCCUUGUACACCCCCGCCCGUCAA